AGAGUUUGAUCCUGGCUCAGGAUGAACGCUGGCGGCGUGCCUAACACAUGCAAGUCGAACGGAGUUUAUAUUAUGAAGUUUUCGGAUGGAUUAAUAUAAACUUAGUGGCGGACGGGUGAGUAACGCGUGGGUAACCUGCCUCAUACAGGGGGAUAACAGCUGGAAACGGCUGCUAAAACCGCAUAAGCAUACAUUGUCGCAUGACAGAGUGUGAAAAUAUUUAUAGGUAUGAGAUGGGCCCGCGUCUGAUUAGCUAGUUGGUAGGGUAACGGCCUACCAAGGCGACGAUCAGUAGCCGGCUUGAGAGAGUGACCGGCCACAUUGGGACUGAGACACGGCCCAAACUCCUACGGGAGGCAGCAGUGGGGAAUAUUGCACAAUGGGGGAAACCCUGAUGCAGCGACGCCGCGUGAGUGAAGAAGUAUUUCGGUAUGUAAAGCUCUAUCAGCAGGGAAGAAAAUGACGGUACCUGACUAAGAAGCCCCGGCUAACUACGUGCCAGCAGCCGCGGUAAUACGUAGGGGGCAAGCGUUAUCCGGAUUUACUGGGUGUAAAGGGAGCGUAGGUGGUUCGGUAAGUCAGAUGUGAAAGCCCGGGGCUCAACCCCGGGACUGCAUUUGAAACUAUCGGGCUAGAGUGCAGGAGAGGUAAGUGGAAUUCCCUAGUGUAGCGGUGAAAUGCGUAGAUAUUAGGAGGAACACCAGUGGGCGAAAGGCGGCUUACUGGACUGUAACUGACACUUGAGGCUCGAAAGCGUGGGGAGCAAACAGGAUUAGAUACCCUGUUAGUCCCACGCCCGUAAACGGAUGAAUACUAAGGUGUCGGGGGGUCAAAAAGUACCUCCGGGUGCCCGCAGCUAACGGCAAAUAAGGUAUUUCCAACCCUGGGGGGAGUACGUUCCGCAAGAAAUGAAACUCAAAGGAAUUUGAAC
rnacentral:rRNA from 1 species